GGACUCGUAGCUCAGCGGGAGAGCAUUCGCUUCACACGCGAAGGGUCACAGGUUCAAUCCCUGUCGGGUCCA
rnacentral:tRNA from 1 species